GAUGAACGCUGGCGGCGUGCCUAACACAUGCAAGUCGAGCGAGAUAAAUGUGAGUGGAGACUUCGGUCAAAGCGAUCAUUUUGAAAGCGGCGGACGGGUGAGUAACGCGUGAGCAAUCUGCCCCAUACAAAGGGAUACCCACUGGAAACGGUGAUUAAUACCUUAUAAGACCACGAAGUCGCCUGGCUUAGUGGCCAAAGAUUUAUCGGUAUGGGAUGAGCUCGCGUCUGAUUAGCUAGUUGGUGAGGUAAUGGCUCACCAAGGCGACGAUCAGUAGCCGACCUGAGAGGGUGAACGGCCACACUGGAACUGAGACACGGUCCAGACUCCUACGGGAGGCAGCAGUGGGGAAUAUUGCACAAUGGGCGCAAGCCUGAUGCUGCAACGCCGCGUGAAUGAUGAAGGCCUUCGGGUCGUAAAGUUCUGUCCUAAGGGAAGAAUACAGUGACGGUACCUUAGGAGGAAGCCCCGGCUAACUACGUGCCAGCAGCCGCAGUAA
rnacentral:rRNA from 1 species